rnacentral:rRNA from 1 species
UACGUAGGCGGAAAAUUAAGUCAGUGGUGAAAUCCUGCAGCUUAACUGUAGAACUGUCAUUGAUACUGGUUUUCUUGAAUUUAGUUGAGGUAGGCGGAAUGUGUAAUGUAGCGGUGAAAUGCUUAGAUAUUACACAGAACACCGAUUGCGAAGGCAGCUUACUAAGCUAUGAUUGACGCUGAGGUACGAAAGCGUGGGGAGCGAACAGGAUUAGAUACCCUGGUAGUCC